UACAGAGGGGGCAAGCGUUGUUCGGAAUUACUGGGCGUAAAGGGCGCGUAGGCGGCCUGCUAAGUCGAACGUGAAAUCCCUGGGCUCAACCCAGGAACUGCGUCCGAUACUGGCAGGCUUGAAUCCGGGAGAGGGAUGCGGAAUUCCAGGUGUAGCGGUGAAAUGCGUAGAUAUCUGGAGGAACACCGGUGGCGAAGGCGGUUCUCUGGGCAUUACCUGACGCUGAGGAGCGAAAGUGUGGGGAGCGAACAGG
rnacentral:rRNA from 1 species